rnacentral:lncRNA from 1 species
UUGAGACUGCUGUCUGACUGAGAUGGAGGGAGUGAUCGUUUUGAGAAAGAGGAUGAAACCAUUCAGCCUUGUCACAGAAUAGGUCAAGCCCAUCUGUGGCUUUGUAAAGUAAACAGCCAUUUUCCAGAAAAACCAGGGAAGAUUAAGCAUUCCAAGCAGAAGAAACAACAUGAGUAAAGAUAAUGAUUUGAAGUGGCACAGUAUGUACUGUCAAGUGUUGCAGGACUGGAAAAUGUGAAGGUUGCUUUUAUUUUGAGCCUUCCCUGAUCUUGGUUUAAUAAAA